GGCUUGGGAGCGGGGUCCACCUAACGGUGCGUACUCUAGCACUCGAGCCUUUCUUCUGGGGACGCCAGUACUUUGUGCUGGAGGAACCAGGACGUUUACUGUGAAAAAAUUAGAGUGUUCAAAGCAGGCAUAUGGCCUGAAUAUACUAGCAUGGAAUAAUGGAAUAGGACUUUGGUUCUAUUUUGUUGGUUUCUAGGACCGAGGUA
rnacentral:rRNA from 1 species